GAUGAACGCUGGCGGCGUGCCUAAUACAUGCAAGUCGAGCGAACAGAUGAGAAGCUUGCUUCUCUGAUGUUAGCGGCGGACGGGUGAGUAACACGUGGGUAACCUACCUAUAAGACUGGGAUAACUCCGGGAAACCGGGGCUAAUACCGGAUAAUAUUUUGAACCGCAUGGUUCAAUAGUGAAAGACGGUUUCGGCUGUCACUUAUAGAUGGACCCGCGCCGUAUUAGCUAGUUGGUAAGGUAACGGCUUACCAAGGCGACGAUACGUAGCCGACCUGAGAGGGUGAUCGGCCACACUGGAACUGAUACACGGUACAGACUCCUACGGGAGGCAGCAGUAGGGAAUCUUCCGCAAUGGGCGAAGGCCUGACGGAGCAACGCCGCAUGAGUGAUGAAGGUCUUCGGAUCGUAAAACUCUGUUGUUAGGGAAGAACAAAUUUGUUAGUAACUGAACAAGUCUUGACGGUACCUAACCAGAAAGCCACGGCUAACUACGUGCCAGCCGCCGCAGUAA
rnacentral:rRNA from 1 species